AUUGAACGCUGGCGGCAGGCCUAACACAUGCAAGUCGAGCGGAGCGGCGGACGGGUGAGUAAUGCCUACGAAUCUGCCUUGUAGUGGGGGAUAACGUCCGGAAACGGGCGCUAAUACCGCAUACUAUCAGAUUAGCCUAGGUCGGAUUGGUUAGUUGUUGGGGUAAAGGCCUACCAAGGCGACGAUCCCUAGCUGUUCUGAGAGGAUGACCAGCCACACUGGAACUGAGACACGGUCCAGACUCCUACGGGAGGCAGCAGUGGGAAAUAUUGCACAAUGGGCGAAAGCCGGAUGCAGACAUGCCGCGUAUAUGAGGAAGGCUUGCGGGUUGUAAAGUACGUUCAGCGGGGAGGCGUUACCCGCAGAAGAAGCACCGGCUAACUCCGUGCCAGCAGCCGCGGUAAUAC
rnacentral:rRNA from 1 species